GCUCUCCUGACAAAAGUAGAUUUUAAUUUUUCAAGUUCUGCACGCUUCUCUUUAACAGCUUUCAUGUUUGCAGAAGUAGGGUCAAUAUUGGGCACUUCAAGACCACGCAAGGCACUAGUCAACCAUUCACAUGCCUCUACAUUUAAUGAACUUCCUGUCAAACAUGCUGCAUACUCAGAAGGGACGCACAACCGCUACAAAAGCGUAUCGAGCUCCUCAAUGAGAGGUUUUCCAUUUACCGACUGCAAUUGCAAGCUGUUAUCACAUGUUUCUAUUGGUGAGAUAUCCCCUUUCAUGUGCCGAAGCUUUUUCCCUUUUACGUUGAACGAGCCUGACCCUUCACCUGUAUCUUUUACGCAUUUCUUAGCUUUCACCUCAAAACACCAUUAGAAGUUUCUACAAUGAGCCUAUCAAAUGUUCCAUUUCCAAAGUCAAAAAUGAGUCCCUCCUUAUUGUUCAUGCCGUAUGAAAGUGCAUCUGCAGUGGGUUCCUUGAUGUUUCUCUGGAUGUUGAAACCGGCAAUUCCAACAACAUUUUUUUGUUACCUGCCUCUGAGCAUCGUUGGAUUAUGCUGGAGCAAUACCUAUAGCUUCGAAAGCAGUUUCUUUCAUCUUGUUAAGACAAAAGCACCGACUUGGCUGGGAGAAUAUUGGUGUCGGUUGGCUUCAACUCAUGCGUCUCCAUUGGGUGCCUUGACAAUCUUGCAGGGUGCCAUUUUCAUCUCCUCUUGUGUUUGAGCAUCAUCAAAGUUCCUACCGAUCAAUCGUUUGGGUACCAAAAGAGGGUUCUGGCGGUUGUUGCAGUAUCGACAGAGUGUAUGGUUUUUGUAGCAUGUCAACUCAACGCUCACUUGAAAUGUAUUGCAUAUGGAAACGUUUGCGGCAAUUGCAUUGUUGUAUUUCCUGCCCUAUGAUUAAAUUGCUUUGGCCUGGACUGAAUGGUUUAUUGGUAUGGAUCUUGUCCAGGGAAUCCUACAGUUGCUAUAUCGCUGGUGAUGUAUGUCAUAUCCCAAUGAAACCCACCUUCCUAUUAUUUGCGUCUACUUUGAAGGACAAUAUGGCAUGCAUGGGUCUAUACCGCUUUUGCCGCAUUCUUCUAAGAGUCUGUCAUCCCUUUGGUGAAUAAUUCAAGUAAGUUACUUUGGUCGAGUCCUGAAUUUACCGUAGCAGUCUCACUUGAAGGACCUUGUAGUACAAUCCUGCUAGUCCGGCAAGCAACUACCGACAUUUUAUUGUUCUUCGCUUGUGAGUUCUGAUAUGUUACCCCAAGCCUCAGAUUACCCAGACAGAUAUGGCAGACGCUGGUGACUGCCGAUUCUUCAUUACCUUCGAUUGAUCGUGAAUGUUUUAUGUAACCAUCUUCCUCACCUCCUUGCUUGCAAUAGACAUAGUAGUUUCCUUUGCAAGUCACAAGUCAUAUGCUGCUCUUCGGUUUCACAAACUCGGAUGUUGCCGUCAUCAUUGCACUGCAUUUGGAGUUUGGCUUUUGGUGGUUUUUGAUGGUGAUGGCGUAAUUAAUCAGUAAGCCGCUGACCUGAGAGGCUUUCACGCGUUCUCGAUCUGGUUGUGAAUUGAAUCAUUUAUCGGUCCUAGAAACUGCCUGUACCUAUGGUCCUCUUUGCUCUCCAUGUUUGGUAACACGUGACGAAGCCACUUGCUUAUUGACUUUUAGCUGUGUUAGCUCGAAGCCAUUCGAAAAUACAUUGUAUAUUUGCCUUGAUUUACAUUCAAAAUAUCAAAAAAAAUGUCUUGUUUCCCUUAAGUUUAUUAUGCUAGGUAAGGGCUUUUUAAUCAAGAGCAUCUCAAAGUUUUGUGGCUUAUUUCCAUGCCUUCUUUAAUAAGCAACUUCAAGCUUUGAGAGAUUUAAUCAAUAGGAAAUCAAGGACACCUUCUUUUGAGUUCAUAUGAUCACCCAUGUGCUUUGAAAUGCAAGAAAAGUCCAAGUACAUAAGCUUG